UGAAGGCAUCCUUUGAAUGUAUGGCGGCGUCGUUUGUGUGGAUUAUGCGUCAACAUUUCUGUCCUGGUUAUGGAAACGUUUAUGAUUCAUGCGAUUAUAUGUAGACAAUAAACUAGUGUUUAAAAAAACAAAACAAAUGAGAGAGAUGUUUUUUUAAAGAAGUAGCGCUAGAAUUGAGUGCUGUUACUAUACGGAGCUAAAUAGCUAGCUUAGCUUCCUGCAUUAAGGCCUAAUUGUGAGCUUGGCACGUUUUAGGAAGCAACCUUGGGGAUAGAUAUGAGUGUUUAGUUACAUGUUGUAUCAUUUUGAAUUUAGUCGGUUAAUCUGCUUUGAAAUUAUAUAGUGAGGUUCUGCAAACAUGUUAAAUGACCUGAGCAUUGGAUGAUGAUGAUGAUGAUGACCUGCUAAUUUAGACAUUGAUCUCUGAAGGCUUUAUUCUGAAGGUCCACCUUCCUCUGAGCUGAAGCUUUAUCUCCUAGAACAGCAGCAAACAUGACUGGAAUCCAAUCCAGAGAUGGUAAAUGAGCUCACACGCUUGUUUUCAGGUUUCACAUUGUGUUUAAACUCUGAUUGUUGUGUGUGUUUGUGUGUAUAGAGUCGGUUGGAGACAGUUCUGAUGAUGAACCUCUGAGUAAAAUGGUGAAACCUGGCAAGAAGUGUCCAGAAGAUGCACGUAAGACUGAAGCAGUCUGAUGCUCUUGUACACUUCGAUCAUGGUUUACUUCGGCCACUUUAAUAAAAAUCCAAAAGUGUGCUAUGUUAUGAUUAUCGCUUGUAAUCAUAUCACUAACCGAACCUGUGUUUUCAGCCUCGGAUAUCAUGGAAGAUGCUUCACCAAAGAAAACCCUUAAAGAGCCCACCUCUGCUGCGGAUGGUAAAAAAAAAAUAAAUAAAAAAUAAAUUUCUCUAAAUUUAAGGAUCAAAUUUGUGCAUACUUUUGAGAUCUACACGCUGCCUCUUAGUUCCAGCAUCCCAGGUUUUCCCAGGGUUUCCUCAGGGUUCUCCAGUUUCCUCCCAGGUCCCACAAAACAGUAGGUGGAUUGGCUGCUCUAAAUGGCCCUUAGGUGUGAAUGAUUGUGAAUAAUAUGUAUACGGACUUCUUUUAUCGCUGUUAACUUCUUUUGCCAUUUAGGCAUAAAUUAUUCCUAACAUAUCUGCUUCAAGUCUGUUCUUUACAAACUGUUCAACUUAUUGAUUUUUUUUGAGUAAAAGUUAAAAUCGUGGGGUGUUAAAAAAAUUGGAUUGUCUUUCAGUGGGACAGAUGGGGAGACGGGCAUGUCUGAGUGGGACAGAUGGGUAGACGGGCGUGUCUGAGUGGGACGGAUGGGUAGACGGGCGCGUCUGAGUGGGACGGAUGGGUAGACGGGCGCGUCUGAGUGGGACAGAUGGGUAGACGGGCGUGUCUGCGUGGGACAGAUGGGUAGACGGGCGCGUCUGCGUGGGACAGAUGGGUAGAUGGGUAGACGGGCGCGUCUGAGUGGGACAGGUGGGUAGACGGGCGCGUCUGAGUGGGACAGGUGGGUAGACGGGCGCGUCUGAGUGGGACAGGUGGGUAGACGGGCGCGUCUGAGUGGGACAGGUGGGUAGACGGGCGCGUCUGCGUGGGACAGGUGGGUAGACGGGCGCGUCUGCGUGGGACAGAUGGGUAGACGGGCGCGUCUGAGUGGGACAGGUGGGUAGACGGG
ensembl:lncRNA